rnacentral:rRNA from 1 species
GACGAACGCUGGCGGCGUGCUUAACACAUGCAAGUCGAACGGAAAGGCCCUGCUUUUGUGGGGUGCUCGAGUGGCGAACGUGUGAGUAACACGUGAGUAACCUGCCCUUUACUUUGGGAUAACUUCAGGAAACUGGGGCUAAUACCGGAUAGGAGCUCCUGCUGCAUGGAGGGGGUUGGACAGUUUCGGCGGCUGGGGAUGGACUCGCGGCUUAUCAGCUUGUUGGUGGGGGAGUGGCUUACCAAGGCUUUGACCGGUAGCCGGCCUGAGAGGCGGACCGGCGACAUGGCGACUGAGGUACGGACCAGACGCGAACUGGGGGCAGCAGGGGGGAGUAUUGCACAAUGGGCGGAAGCGUGAGGCAGCAACGCCGCGUGCGGGAUGACGUCUUUCGGGUGGAAAACAGCUUUCGCCUGUGACGAAGCGUGAGUGACGGUAACUGGUAAAGAAGCACCGGCUAACUACGUG